GGAUCAGCCCACGGCCUAUCAGCUUGUUGGUGGGGUGAUGGCUCACCAAGGCGACGACGGGUAGCCGGCCUGAGAGGGCGACCGGCCACACUGGGACUGAGACACGGCCCAGACUCCUACGGGAGGCAGCAGUGGGGAAUAUUGCGCAAUGGGCGAAAGCCUGACGCAGCGACGCCGCGUGGGGGAUGACGGCCUUCGGGUUGUAAACCUCUUUCGCCAGGGACGAAGCGUGAGUGACGGUACCUGGAUAAGAAGCACCGGCCAACUACGUGCCAGCAGCCGCGGUAACACGUAGGGUGCGAGCGUUGUCCGGAAUUAUUGGGCGUAAAGAGCUCGUAGGCGGUCUGUCGCGUCGGUCGUGAAAACUUGGGGCUUAACCCUGAGCUUGCGGUCGAUACGGGCAUGACUGGAGUUCGGCAGGGGAGACUGGAAUUCCUGGUGUAGCGGUGAAAUGCGCAGAUAUCAGGAGGAACACCGGUGGCGAAGGCGGGUCUCUGGGCCGAUACUGACGCUGAGGAGCGAAAGCGUGGGGAGCGAACAGGAUUAGAUACCCUGGUAGUCCACGCCGUAAACGUUGGGCGCUAGGUGUGGGGGCCAUUCCACGGUCUCUGUGCCGCAGCUAACGCAUUAAGCGCCCCGCCUGGGGAGUACGGCCGC
rnacentral:rRNA from 1 species